CCUCAUUUCACCAAUUGGAGACUACCAGCACCAGAUGGCAGGACCUCUGUUGAAUUAGGGGUCCAGCUCACUCUGUUGACAGGGCUGGCUGUCGUUAAUAAAAUCCUCUGAACAAAGUCACAGACCUGUGGCUCUGAACCUUUGAACCUGAGGGAACAAUAAACCACAGAGCCCAGAAGGAUGAUGGGAAGCGUCAACCAUCCCUCCCUCGCUCAUGCUGAAACUCUCCGAGGCUUUCAUAAAAGCCUUCAGAUCCAGAAAGGCAGCAUUAAUCCAUCCUGCUGUCACAGAGAGAACAGAUUAUCUCCACAUGGCACCAAGCACUGAGAAAUUAUGUACAACAGCACUCUGGGUUUUUGUUUUGCUAUGUGUGUGUUUAAUUCCACCAGGAAAAAAUCUUUGGUGAAAUGUGCUAACUGAUGCAUGCACAUGUGUGUCUAACAGGAUUUUUAUUUUCACAACAGACUUACAGUACAACAUCAUACACAAUGAUGACACAAUGACUCUGAAAGAAUACAGUAUUUCUGGGUGGAUGAAAUCACCAAAAUAAAAGCUCUGGGGCAUCAAAUGGGCCAAUUCAUGAUUAUAUUCUAUCACAAA